GUGCACGCUGGCGGUAGGCCUAACACCUGCAAGUCGCACGGCAGCACAGUAAGAGCUUGCUCUUACGGGUGGCGAGUGGCGGACGGGUGAGGAAUACAUCGGAAUCUACUUUUUCGUGGGGGAUAACGUAGGGAAACUUACGCUAAUACCGCAUACGACCUACGGGUGAAAGCAGGGGAUCUUCGGACCUUGCGCGAUUGAAUGAGCCGAUGUCGGAUUAGCUAGUUGGCGGGGUAAAGGCCCACCAAGGCGACGAUCCGUAGCUGGUCUGAGAGGAUGAUCAGCCACACUGGAACUGAGACACGGUCCAGACUCCUACGGGAGGCAGCAGUGGGGAAUAUUGGACGAUGGGCGCAAGCCUGAUCCAGCCAUACCGCGUGGGUGAAGAAGGCCUUCGGGUUGUAAAGCCCUUUUGUUGGGAAAGAAAAGCAGCAGGUUAAUACCCCGCUGUUCUGACGGUACCCAAAGAAUAAGCACCGGCUAACUUCGUG
rnacentral:rRNA from 1 species